rnacentral:rRNA from 1 species
UACGGAGGAUGCAAGCGUUAUCCGGAAUGAUUGGGCGUAAAGCGUCCGCAGGUGGCAGUUCAAGUCUGCUGUCAAAGACCGGGGCUUAACUUCGGAAAGGCAGUGGAAACUGAACAGCUAGAGUAUGGUAGGGGCAGAGGGAAUUCCUGGUGUAGCGGUGAAAUGCGUAGAGAUCAGGAAGAACAUCGGUGGCGAAGGCGCUCUGCUGGACCAUAACUGACACUCAGGGACGAAAGCCAGGGGAGCAAACGGG